rnacentral:rRNA from 1 species
AUGGCUGUCGCCGCCUUCCCAAACUGGCUGAUGCUGGAGCGUUUCGUCUUCCGCAGGGACGACGAGGGGUCUUUUCCGGACAACACCAAGGCACCCAUCCGGGCGUCCGGCACGACCUCCUGGAACGCUCCCUUCCGCAUCGCCUUCUGCCUCGCCGAGCCCCCGCUUCCCUCCCGCCUCUACGCCCAGUUGCCACGUUUUCCAGAUCCGAGGAAGCAUAUUCCCUUAGCCAUCAUGGCGACCCACCGCCAUCUCCUCCUGCUUCGUAUCGCCACCAAUACCCCUGCACUAGGGCUGGUGCAGGACUUCCUUGUCUACAACGCCUACGACCCUUCCUCGCUCAAAGCUCUCCAACCUUGUACCGAGCCGUACACGGAUUAUACCCGCACGGGUGACAACCUACCUCGUGGUCCUCCCCUCCAGGAAGGGAAGCAGCGCCUACUGACGGUCAAAUCCAUGGGCCUCUUGUGCCGAGGCGAAGACGAGCAAGAGUUUGCGGUGGCAGAGCUCCUCGUUUUUAAGGACAUCCACUCUAAGGUCUAUGCUGACAUCUGUUUGCUACGCUCCUCCACAUCAGCUGGCCCCGUACUUGGCGGCACUUGGAACUCCAUGCGUCUACCAAUCCUUGGCAUCGACAAUGUCAAUGAUCCUUGGCACCUCUGUUGCUGGGACACCGACACCGUCGUUCCCUUCAACCGCUCGCUUUGCUGGAUCGACUACCACCGAGGCAUCCUCAUCUGUGACGUCUUCGGAGACCCCAUCCCUACCGUAUCUUUCCUCGCGUUCCCCCUUGAUGAGUUCCCUUCUGCUCACACUCACAAUCAAAUCAAGCCAUCCAGCUGGUUAUACCGGGGUGUGUCCGCCAUCGAUGACGACGGUGUGCUCAAGUUUGUGAAUGUCACUCGUCAUGAUGGCAUUGGUCAUGGAGAACUCAAAUCUGGGUCAGGCUUCACCAUCACUUGCCACACUCUCACAUUAGGUAGCAUGGUGUGGGAAUUAGAGUACAAGAUCACUUCGGCUGAGCUCUGGUCUUCCAAUCCGCACCUUCCACACACAAUCCUCAUGUUUCCUCAAGUAAAUGUCGACAGGCCAUAUGUAGUGCACUUUCUCAUCAGCGAAUUCAAAUACGUCAUCAGGAAGAUGUGGGUGGUUAGCAUUGAUAUGAGCACCAGGACUGUGGAGUCAAUUUCCCAAUACAUCAAUGGGAAGGACGGCCUUAAAACCGAUGAUGCUGACUUCACCAGAAGAAAGUCUGGCGCUCCCACGUCCUUCCUCCCCUGUGAAUUCUCUAGGUUCCUUCGUCUCUCCAGAAGAAACGAGGAUAUGGAAUGA